rnacentral:rRNA from 1 species
UGCGUUGGAGGGGAUCAGAAGGAGCGAGAGCAGCGCAGCGCGGCGAGGUGUCGGACGCGGAGGUGGGGAAGGGAGAAGGGGAGUGGAAGAGGGGUGGUGGCCAGGCGCAGUGCUGCGGCGGCCGUACCUCCGGACCCGAGCCCGUUGGCGGCGCCACAGCCCAAGCAGCCCCUCCAGAGACCCCUUGCGCGCUGCCCGAACUGGAGAGGGCCGAGGGGCGGGAGCGGGCGCUGCUACUCCUGGUCCAACGCGACGCGGAGGUUAGGGUCGAGUACCAGCGCGACCUGUACGGGGGUGCUGCGGCAGACGCAGCCAGACUUCGAGCGCCUCCUACCCCUGCUCCAGCCCACUUCUAAGCUGCCGGUGUGCCACCCUUUCGUUACCGCCGCCGAAGUGGCUAGACGCCCUACCGUUUGUCAAAAAACACCUAGUGGGACCUCGUCAAGGAUAAAGGUGGCGAGUCCUACUUCUCGACUUCUUCCAUUAACCGUCCUACUGGAUGCAUCUCACGUCGAGUUUUUGUGUCGUCUUAUAGUUCCGCUACAAACUACGUCGCUAAUUCCACCAAGGUCGGUAACUUCGUCUUCGUCUUCUUCACCUUCCGCGUCUUUCAUACGUGCCUGUCUGGUUACCACCUCCGAGCUCCCUGCCUCACGGCGGCGGCGGCGGUAGGAGUGGGGACUCGGGUUUGAAGGUUAAACUAUCUACCCUCCCAGACGUCUUCUUCUCGGACCUUCUCUAAAAGAACAUACUUCCAAAGGAACGACUUGGGACUUAACCGUACCUUAAGUUGGAAGAAGUUUCUUGGCCAGUACGAAGGACUUAAACAUUAAGACCCGCCUAGAGGGCUCCUUUCACGAGCCGAAUUCCGUAGAUCGUUAUACUUACUCGAGUAAAGUGAGAAUAGAGGAGUCAGCUCCGAUCAGCAAUGUAGUAGGCCGCUACUAGAAGGAAGUCUACCGUGAAACUUAAGCCUACGUUAUUGUCAAGUUCAAGAACAGUUACUACAGGUACAACCUCUGAGUCAUAACCAAUAACUCAGUAAUCUUUCCUAUCAACUACUAAGACUGAAACUUGUACCAUGGGUAGUAGUAUAACUUCAUACAACCACCAACCAUGGUUAGUAAAAAACACUAUCUUCGAACCGUACGCAAAACAGUUGACAACUUCUUCUCUUCUAACAGGAUCCGCUGACGUUCAAAAAGUUUAGAUGGAAGAUGAUCCCAACAGGACCUACCAGAUGACAACUUCUUCUGUAAACAGAUUAGUUCCUAGUCUGAUCUGGCCGCCUGCACGUAUUCGUUCUAUUCACGCGUGUACUUGUGAAUCCUCCGCACGGUUACCGUGCGGGGUCGGUAAUCAGGAGAAGUUUCUCCCGUAGUAGCUCUGUCGUGCGUCCACUAGCCGCCGAACAUCUUCAACCCACCUCUAUGUUUUUAUAGACACAGUUUUGUGUCGGUGUACGUUGGUCUGUCUCGUCUAGGUUGAGAUAACUCUUAAUGCUUCUUUUUGAUCUGUAUCAACUGCGGUGAGUGGGUUUCGUAAACCCAUGGGCUUGAGCCAUGAGCUUGGUUGGUCCUUGGUUUAAUGGCUUAACAAACAAUUAAGCCAAUAGCCAGAAUCCAAGCCAAAAGUAAAGGACGCAUAAGUGUAUCAUUGACUAUAAAGUUAUCCGGUACCAUACGCCGACUCGCUAACACGAAAUGAGUGGUUUUUAGUUCCGGGUUGCUUUAGGUCCGGUUUGAGUGGCGUAGGCGUACUGUGGCUCUUUUCAGAGCGGCGGAGCGUAGCGUGAGGUCAGGGAGGGGUUUAUUGAAGCGAGAGCCGAGAACGUAUGAGAGAGAGGG